rnacentral:rRNA from 1 species
UACGGAGGGGGCUAGCGUUGUUCGGAAUUACUGGGCGUAAAGAGCGCGCAGGCGGUCGUUCAAGUCGCGUGUGAAAGCCCCCGGCUCAACUGGGGAGGGUCACGCGAUACUGAUCGACUGGAAGGCAGGAGAGGGUAGUGGAAUUCCCGGUGUAGUGGUGAAAUGCGUAGAUAUCAGGAGGAACACCAAUGGCGAAGGCAGCUCGCUGGAACGGUACUGACGCUGAGGCGCGAAAGCGUGGGGAGCGAACAGG